rnacentral:lncRNA from 1 species
CUGAUAACAUACAUUAGUAGCAAUAUUAAAUAAGGUAAAAUAACUCCAGUGACAUCCUAGUUACAUGCUUGGGGUGGGUUUUUGGUUUCGUUUUAAAGUAUUUAUGAGGGAUACUUUCAUGCAUUUUCCAUGAAACUAAUUUUUCUCUUUCUUUUUUUAGCUUCAGCUUUAGCUGCAGCUGCCUCUGUUCAGCCACUUGCAACACAAUGUUUCCAACUCUCUAACAUGUUUAACCCUCAAACAGAAGAAGAAGUUGGAUGGGAUACCGAGAUUAAGGAUGAUGUGAUUGAAGAAUGUAAUAAACAUGGAGGAGUUAUUCAUAUUUAUGUUGACAAAAAUUCAGCUCAGGGCAAUGUGUAUGUGAAGUGCCCAUCAAUUGCUGCAGCUAUUGCUGCUGUCAAUGCAUUGCAUGGCAGGUGGUUUGCUGGUAAAAUGAUAACAGCAGCAUAUGUACCUCUUCCAACUUACCACAACCUGUUUCCUGAUUCUAUGACAGCAACACAGCUACUGGUUCCAAGUAGACGAUGAAGGAAGAUAUAGUCCCUUAUGUAUAUAGCUUUUUUUCUUUCUUGAGAAUUCAUCUUGAGUUAUCUUUUAUUUAGAUAAAAAUAAAGAGGCAAGGAUCUACUGUC